rnacentral:lncRNA from 1 species
CUGAAUCCGCCACCAACCAAAAACAUCCUCACCCAAUGUAUGUUGCCACUGUCGGCACCAUCCUCUCAAUGUUGAACCUAGCACCACCACUACAAAGAAUGUUUGCCAUGGUAGGCAGCGCUUUUGGACACCCGCCUCCAAAUCUCCUACCUUUGAUACCUCUAAGAAGAGCCAUUAAUGCAAAAGAAGCCACCACAAAUCAUAUGAUAUUUAAAAGGGUAUUUAGGUGUCGGUGACUCCAAUAAAACAAAGCUCCACCUCCAACAAGAAUGGAAUUGAUUCCCAUUUUGGAUUAUUGAAAAAUUGCUCAAUCUUAUCAAAUUUUUCAAAACCCACAUGCAAUGGCCUCAGAGAAAGAGAGCUGUGGGUCUGAUUGUGGAAUUGGGAACUUGAUUUGGGAGUGAUCAUGAUUUUGUUGGUUUCCAUGGAACAUCUGCUAAAUCUACAUCAGAGGAAAAAAUUGGUGAAAUACCGGGCAGUGCGUGUACGUUUGGUUUUUUAUUUUUAUUUUUUGGUAACUUAUAUUGUUUUAGGACUGCGUGUACAUUUGAUUGGGCAAAAUUGGUGAAAUACAUGGAAUUGGGGUCGACAUUGAAGCGGUGGUGCCAGCAGAGGCGGCAAACGAUUGGGUAGAAGUGGUUUUAGGUUUGGGAUGAGAGGGUUGGGGAAGAAGGAGAUGUGGG